rnacentral:misc_RNA from 1 species
UAUCUGCAUCACUCCCGUUAUCUGUCUCAAAAAAUUCUAUAAUAUUGUAAAGUCUUGCUUAAGGUAGAAAAUACAAACUUAAAAUGGUUAAAGAAAAUACAUUCAUCCACAUAGUUCUUAGCAAAUCAAAGAAAAUAAAUGGGGGGAUAAAGAUCACAUCUUCUUUUGAUCGACUACAUGUAUUCGCUUUGCUAAAGCUUCAGCCAGCGAACCAUGGACCAAAAGGAAUAUAAACCACUUCAAUUUUGGGAAGUACUAGUUUUAGAAAAAAAAAAUGGAUAGGAAAAAGAGCCUGCUAUUUCCUAGAAAAUGUAAAUUAUCCAAUGAGAAGCAAAUGAAAGAUUACAAAAAUAUAUUGGUGACCCUAACUUCCUUGAUCAAUGAUCAUGUAUUUGAGGAUAUGGAUAUCAAAUUAUCAAUGAUCAUAUAAUCAUAAGGUCUAUUAAUCCUAAAUUGAACACUGCCUUUGCAAGUAAUUGACUGCUAAGGAUAUAGGAACACUCGGUCAUCUAUAUGAACAGAACAUUUGAUAAAGUAAACAUGCCAAGGAAAAAUACCUGCAUUUUCUCACAUUGCAGCCA